rnacentral:rRNA from 1 species
AGCGAACGCUGGCGGCAGGCCUAACACAUGCAAGUCGAACGAACUCUUCGGAGUUAGUUGCGGACGGGUGAGUAACACGUGGGAACGUGCCUGUAGGUUCGGAAAAACACAGGGAAACUUGAGCUAAUACCGGGUGUGCCCUUCGGGGGAAAGAUUUAUCGCCUUUAGAGCGGCCCGCGUCUGAUUAGCUAGUUGGUGAGGUAAAGGCUCACCAAGGCGACGAUCAGUAGCUGGUCUGAGAGGAUGAUCAGCCACAUUGGGACUGGGACACGGCCCAAACUCCUACGGGAGGCAGCAGUGGGGAAUCUUGCGCAAUGGGCGAAAGCCUGACGCAGCCAUGCCGCGUGAAUGAUGAAGGUCUUAGGAUUGUAAAAUUCUUUAACCGGGGACGAUAAUGACGGUACCCGGAGAAGAAGCCCCGGCUAACUUCGUG